rnacentral:misc_RNA from 1 species
UUGUGGAGGAGGACGCCGAAGGUGGGGCUAAUGACUGGGGUGAAGUCGUAACAAGGUAACCGUACCGGAAGGUGCGGCUGGAUCACCUCCUAACAGGGAGACAACAAAAUGUUUAAUAUUAUUAUUUUGUCACCUUAGGUCGAUCGGUAUCUCACGUUCUUAAUUUAUUAAGAAUUUCAUUUCCUAAGUUUUUCUAGGUCACACCCAUUUUUUUCCUGGGCCAUUAGCUCAGGUGGUUAGAGCGCACCCCUGAUAAGGGUGAGGUCCCUGGUUCAAGUCCAGGAUGGCCCAUAUCUCUAUGUUGGGGGUAUAGCUCAGUUGGUAGAGCGCCUGCUUUGCAAGCAGGAUGUCAGCGGUUCGAGUCCGCUUACCUCCACUGAUUACCACCUCUUCCAUAUCUAUAGAAAGGAAAUUUUUUGAGUUGUGAUCAAAUUCUGAAAGAAUCUAGCUUCCUAAUUAAAUCAUUAAGAUGCUGGACUCAUUGAAUUAAUUUCAUUGUUUUCAGAGAACCUUGACAACUGCAUAGAUUAUUUUUAAAGACAAUAAGCAUCUUUAAUGAUGCAGAUUUAUUAUUUGUGCGAAUGCAUUAAUAACAAUUCUAUUAAGCUGAUGCUUCAAUUUUGAAGUUAUUGGUCAAGCUACAA